AUAAAGAAUGGAAGUUUCUUGUCUACAUUAAGGAAAGAAAGAAUGAAAGGAAGAUGUAGGUGAAAUCCAAAAGUUUCAAAAAUCAAGCAACAGAUUUGCAUGUCACUGGAAAAUAAAUGUCAUCAAAGUAUAGGGGUGCUCAAUGCAUUGCUGCAUACAAUUGAAAGAGACCAAUCUUACCUUCCUCAAGGUCCAUGAUGCCGGUCAAAUGGUCCCCAUGGAUCAGCCCUGAGCUGCACUAGAGAUAACUAAAGAGGUGGAUUAAAGACAAACUUCCUCAAAAACCCAUGCAUGGCUGAAUCAAAAGAGCCAGAAAAAUGGGUUGCUCAAAUGUGAUUGCCUUUGUUGUGUUGUAUCUUGUCUUAUGUUAGGCACAGUUGAAUACUUUGUCCAUGUUGAACAUUGUAUGCUGUCCUGGAAUUCUCAGUAUGCUUGUAAAUAUUUACCCACAGCCCACAACCACAAAUUCUGGACCCAACAAUUGAUGAUGUAAUAAAAAUUUCUUUUGGGAAUAAGAAUGCAUGCAGCCUGUGUAUUUUAUUCCUCUUUCUUGUUAUCUUAUUGUUUGGUGUACU